rnacentral:rRNA from 1 species
AGAGUUUGAUCCUGGCUCAGGACGAACGCUGGCGGCGUGCUUAACACAUGCAAGUCGAACGAUGAAGCCCAGCUUGCUGGGUGGAUUAGUGGCGAACGGGUGAGUAACACGUGAGUAACCUGCCCUUGACUCUGGGAUAAGCGCUGGAAACGGCGUCUAAUACCGGAUACGACCUGCCCCGGCAUCGGGUGCGGGUGGAAAGUUUUUCGGUCAAGGAUGGACUCGCGGCCUAUCAGCUUGUUGGUGAGGUAAUGGCUCACCAAGGCGACGACGGGUAGCCGGCCUGAGAGGGUGACCGGCCACACUGGGACUGAGACACGGCCCAGACUCCUACGGGAGGCAGCAGUGGGGAAUAUUGCACAAUGGGCGAAAGCCUGAUGCAGCAACGCCGCGUGGGGGAUGACGGCCUUCGGGUUGUAAACCUCUUUUAGUAGGGAAGAAGGACUUCGGUUUGACGGUACCUGCAGAAAAAGCACCGGCUAACUACGUG